GAUGAACGCUGGCGGCGUGCCUAAUACAUGCAAGUCGAGCGAACAGACGAGGAGCUUGCUCCUCUGACGUUAGCGGCGGACGAGUGAGUAACACGUGGAUAACCUACCUAUAAGACUGGGAUAACUUCGGGAAACCGGAGCUAAUACCGGAUAAUAUAUUGAACCGCAUGGUUCAAUAGUGAAAGACGGUUUUGCUGUCACUUAUAGAUGGAUCCGCGCCGCAUUAGCUAGUUGGUAAGGUAACGGCUUACCAAGGCAACGAUGCGUAGCCGACCUGAGAGGGUGAUCGGCCACACUGGAACUGAGACACGGUACAGACUCCUACGGGAGGCAGCAGUAGGGAAUCUUCCGCAAUGGGCGAAAGCCUGACGGAGCAACGCCGCGUGAGUGAUGAAGGUCUUCGGAUCGUAAAACUCUGUUAUUAGGGAAGAACAAAUGUGUAAGUAACUAUGCACGUCUUGACGGUACCUAAUCAGAAAGCCACGGCUAACUACGUG
rnacentral:rRNA from 1 species